CGGUCAGGCUUUAUAAACUUUGUCAUCGCCCUUCUUCCUUCUUUUGGUUUCCUCUGUCAUGGCGUUAAGUCGCCCCGGUCCUCUGCAGAACAUAUUUAACAUGUUAAAGAGUUUUAAUAAUAGUGCAUGAUCGUUUAAUUGUGAAUGUGAACACGUGCUAGUUAAACGUCAGUUUGUAUCUUUGGUGAAAACGUGGUUUCACGUUAGCAUCUCGUGCUUAGCGGGCCUCAAGCAGCCACGUGGAGUGAAAGAUGGAAGACAAACUAAGUGGUCUUCAGUGUGACAAGUCACUUCUUGAGUCAAACAAAUGUCAUAUUGGAGUCAUCGUUGGGUCUUAUGUCCCUGGGAGGUGAAGCUGAGCCCAGGCCAGAAGAUGGAAAACCCAAAGUGAAGAGCUGAAAAUGUAUGUGAGCUGCCUUAAAAGAUGACACUGCCAGGAAAAUACACCUGCUGGAGGCCUGGAGUCUGACAGGUUGCCAUGCAGGACUGCAAAUGCUCCCAAGUACACCAGCUAAAUGAAAAGGAUUCAUUUCAUUCAGGUUGGGCUGGUUACUGAAGAAGAUUCCUCAGAAAGAAGUGAUUCAUCUUCUGAUGGACUGCAGCUUUGAGAUGCUCCUCGUGCAGUUCUGCCAGUGUGAUCCUGUCCCUGAAGUCUGAGAAGUAAAUUAUGACAGAAUUGGAUCCAGUGGCUGCAGUGACUUUGUCAGUAUGCCUCAAAGUUUCAUGUGGUGCCAUGGACUCAUGAACACUGUCUGAAGAUGGAUGUCAACAUGUUUGUAGAAAAAUGUUUUACACCUUGUAAAAGCUGAUUAAAUAAAGUCAACACAGUCUUAUAAACUAA